rnacentral:lncRNA from 1 species
CCGGUGAGCGUCUUGUGGAACAAAACAGUGAAACUGGGCUAAAACCUCCCCAAGAGAGAGCUCCCCCCUUCCAGCAAAACCUUGCUCUAACUGGUGCAAUCCCCAGCCUUGGGGGAAGGUUUUGUGGUCAUAGGAGUGCAUGCAAGCUGUGCCCUCCCAGCUCUGUCCCUGAUGGGGCUGCUGGGUAUCAGCUAAGGUGACCUGGGGUCAGGGAAGUGAGAGAACAUUUUGUUGCUAAAAAUAAAACAGCCACCCCCUCUGCUCCCCCAUGGCUGCAGUCUCCAUAUCUGAACACCCGAAGGAUGCCAAGCUUUCCAGACAAAGAGUGGAUCACAGUGCCAACCAUGUGCAUGGGGGUCUCCCCGAGAUGGGCUUCGGCACACCUGGCCCAGCUUUAGUAUGUUCUCCAUCCAGGGCCGUCAAGGAAAGAGGAGAAGGCAUUGCCCCUUAUCUGUGUUCCAAUGAUAUUCAGAGACCGUGGUGUAUAGAUUCUAUCUACAAUUGUAUCCUUUGCUCUAUUUACCAUUUGCCUUACGUGCAUCACUAAUACUGAAAAGUGUGAUCAAAAGAGUUUAAAAUUAUAUAUGUGGGGGGCUUUUUCAUGAGUUUAAUAGUAUUUUUAACCCUUGCAUAAAUAAUAUUUUCUCUUUGCUAAGAUGCACAGGGAAGGGUUUGAGGUUGGAGGAAUCUUGUGCUCAAAUCGUUCCACAUCCAAAGGGACAGCCCAGAAUCUAGACAGGAAAUAGCGCGAGGGGGUCUCUGACCUUGAGAUAAUGUACCAGGUCCCCUGCCACCAGCAGGAGCCUUGCCCGGGGGAAGCUGGUCUCAGCUGCCGGAUGGCCCGGCCUCCAUCCCCAUGCGCAUCCUCAACCUCACCUGUUCACGCUCCACAAGUCACGGCCCACCCUCCCAUGAAGCAGCUUUAGUUUUUCUCAUUAUUAUAAAAUUAUAUGUAUAUCUUUAUAUUAGACCAGAAUGUGUAUAGAGGAAAGUAACAAUCACUUAAAUUCUCCCUAGUCGGAGGCCACCACUGUCAAAUAUUUGGGAAUGAUAACUUCUGAAACCUCGGAAAAGAAAAGAAAUUAGAUUAUGCCCACACAUUUUCGUUGUUGUUCUAGUAAAUAAAGAAAGGAAAGAAACAUGCUAUGUGGUUCUGUUUACAAGAAGUUCGUAACAGGAUAUAGAAUUCAGACCGUGGUUGCGUCUGGGAGAGGAUGGGCUGGAAGGAGGCAUGAGAGAACUUUCUGGCGUGCUAGAAAUGUUCUAUAUCUUGAUUUGGGCAAUGGUAAUACGGAUGUAUACAAUUUCCAGAGCUCGUCGAACUUAAGACCUGUGUGUUUUACUGUAAAAUUUUAUACCUCAAUAAAGAAAGUGAAAGAAUCUUGGAUAAAUAUUAUAGCAAAAGACCAAACUGGGGAGGCAGACAAGAACCAAAUGACUGGGCUAAAAGGCAUGAGCUGCUGAGCUAAGACAAGCCACACACAAUGCCUGGAGCUCUAUGGAGAGGGAAGCCAGGCGUGGCCCCCCAUAUACCAGCCUGUCCCAGCAUCCCCCCUUUACGGGCCUGCAGGUAAAUCCUGGAGAGCUGAAUGCUUCAAAGGGUAAUCUUAAGAUCCUACGGGGGCCCAGCAUCUGCCAGACUCUCUCGUCUUUCACGCUGUUACUCUGCCGUGGUGGUAGUGACGCACUGCAUUUCCUGAUAGGGGUAGGGGUCCCUUGGAGCCUAACAAAAAUCUGUGCUUGAGUCCGGAAGGGAGCUAGAAGGCGUUAACUUUCAAAUAGAUUAUGUUCCAAAAGUUUCUUUCUUAGUCGCUGUCUGAGACUCAGAAUAUUGCCCCCCAUGGAAACAAUGUUAUACAUGGUAAUCAAGGUUCCAAGUUUCUUCCCCACCCUCCCCUCCCAAAAUCUAUUAAAGGCCUACUCAUAAAAUAUAGAAUUUUAAGCACAGUAGGAACAUAAGUGUUGAAUUAUAGUGGUUGUGUGCCAUGAAAAAGAAUGAGAGGAAAGCAAUAUCCUUUUUUUUUUUUAUCCCCCCAAAAAUAUACCUGCUAUCUGCCAUGUUGCACUAUGUCGGCAUUUGGGAUUCAAAAAUGAAAAAUGUCAAGAUAUCUUCCCUCAAGCAGCUCACUGUCUCGUAGAGGAAGACUGCCUUGUAAAUAAGUACGUGCGGGCAACUCUCACAGGUGCUGGGAUAGAGCUGGUCAUACUCAAACCAAAGAGGAAAAGGGAAGUGAGUGCUGGUUGCCGAAGGAAACAUUCUCAAGCAGGGAGAGUCGAUGGGAUGAAGAGUCGAUGAAGACCUGCAGACAGAUCUAAGGGGUCGUGGGGCGCUUUGAAGGGCAGUGGCCCUGGAUCUGCUUCUCCUUCACAAGGUGUUCGCUUGGCAAGAAACUCCUGAUUCAGAAACCCUUCCAGCAAGGAGAUAAGUUUUUCUCAGCAGCAAAUGACUACAAACACAUCUGCAUUGACAAGUCGAAACUUAUAUCCUUCUAUGGUCUUUCUGCUCUUUUGAAAAUGUUAAUAAAAACUUAAUGUGGAAAAAAAACAACUUUUUCCAAAUAUGUGUACCAACGAGCCCGAGGCAACUCAUACUUUCUUAUAAAAUAAAGUAGGUCACUCACAUCAAUCAUGUUGUCUUAGCACAUUUUUUCCAAAUUAGGAAUUUUCAAUCCAUCAUACCACAUUAUGGCAUCCCUUUUCCAAACAUUUCCUUUUAAUAUGCUCUUUAACAUGAUAAGCAAAUCUAAUAGAAUACAUUAGUGUCACUUUCCAGUGAUGGAGUGUUUCCUCCUGUUGCAAUCCACGAUGAGUUCAGGGAAACAUUUUCUACUUCACUCUGUAACAGCCGUCGCUUGUUGAAAAUAUGACAAUGGCCUCACAGCUGCCAAGGCCACACUUGAGUGUUAGCCUGACAAAGAUCACGGGACCCCUCCCUCACCUCUCCAUGUGUCAUAUAUGUAGAAAUCCCAAAAGAUGUGUGUGUCCCAAAGCCCAAUCGUAAAUCCACAUCCCGUACGUGAGGCGAGUGUUCUAGCCUGCCGAUUCAGUAGGGUUACAUGCGCGCACACACUCUCCUGUGUAGAUCGAAAGCUUGUACUGGGCUUCAUUUGAAAACCACAUUGCUCACAGAACAUUUCCAAACCUCCUGGAUCAUGCAGAAAGGGAGGAUCCUUGGCUUAAUAUGUGUGAGAUUCUCCAAAACCGGUUACUAUCUUUGCGCAAGUGAAUUUGGACCUGUGAGAGAGGAGUGCUCUGUUUACAACCCGCUUGAGAUAAAUAUAUUUGCAUGUUCAUAUAUUUGACAACAUUUACCUGGCAAAAACAGGGUAUCUGUUUCCACUCGGAUCUCUAGCUCUCGGAUUCAUGUGUUCGGUAUUAGCGCUCAAGUUUCUUUAGGGAUUUUUUAUUUGGACAGAGUUUUGGAAUAGAACAUUUGGGAAGCUGGGAGUGGGAGAGGUUUGUAGAGCGCCCAGGAAUUCAGCUGUUUCAGGCUUUUGGCCACCCAACAGGAAAACAUCUCAAUGGAAAAGGGAAAGUUCAGUUUGUUUUCUGGACCUUUCAUCUGGACACGCGGGGUCCUGUAGACACUAGUUUAGAUUGCCCAUUCCGUAAGUCACAUCACUUCUUCCAAAUGUCUGGGGAAAGAGAAAGGUGAAGGUAUGGACUCUGAUUAGCCAUAGCUUCCGGACCCUGCCCCAUUCUGGCCCAGAGCUAAUGGCUUGAGGCUGUGUGUGCCCAGGAGAUGUCAUUAACUCCUUUAUCAUAAAAAUCACUGUGCUGGAGGCAGCGGGGGACACAGACAUGAGGCAUAGCUCGUACCCUUAAGGAGCUGGAAAUCAAGCUUGAUAUCAAGUAGAACAUGAUGAGGAAAAGAAAAAAAUACCCAGGGAGUUCAGAGGAGAGAGAGAUCACUGCCAGGUAGGGGUGGAUGUAAUAAAAGAUUAAGAAGAAGAUGAUCUUGGAACCAGGCUCUAAUGGUGAGCAGGCUUUGGAUCUGCACAGAUGGUAAAAGGGCGUUCUAGGUGGAGGGCACAGCGAGAGUAAAGGGACGGGCUGGGUAAGCUUGCAGGGAGAGGGGACAUGAGCAACAGUUCAGGACCCACUGAACACAGGCUGCAUAAAGGGAGUCAGAGAAGAAAUUGGGGAAGGGAGAUUGAAGCCAGAGCAUGAGCAGCCUUGAAUGCCAAGCUAAGGAGCAAAGCCUCUAGAACGUACACCCCCUCCCAUGCCCCUAAAACCGUUCUGGUGCCACGAACACCUUUCAUGGAAUAGGAAGAUGAUUAGGGCGACAGUAUUUAUGUUGGUGCAUUUGAGCGCCCUCAAUCUUCUAUCUCUUUUACAUUUCUCCUUUGACACAUAGGCAAGUGCUAUAGCACAUUCAAGUGUUUUCCAUUGCUGGGGUCUGGAGAACCAUCCUGGACCUUCCAGCUGGCCUCAGAACCACUGCUCACUGAGCUUGAGGAUUCUCCCAAGUUUCCGUGUUUUCCUUGAGUUGAUUAAAAUUUGUAGAAACUGCUCCUUUCCUUCUGGUCCGUGGACCCAGAGGGGAUGACACAAUAAAG